AUGAAGACAUUUGAGACAAACAACAAAAAUGCAACAACCAUGACCCCAUACUGUUGCACACUUUAAGAUGUGUUUACAUGAAGGAGGUACAAUAACGUCUCAAACGCUUCAUCGCUUGGUGUCCUCAAUGCCAAAAUGUCUUUUAGAUGUUGUGAGAAGGAAGAAAUAGAAACAUUAAAAAGUGGCAAAUGCUUGGGCAUCUCAACCAUUUUUUUUAUAAAUGUGUUGCAGGCCUUAAAUGCAGGAAUGGAUGUGUAUAUUAACAAAUGAAACAUGAAAUAUCUUUGGUUCAUAUUGUCUGCAAUGAAACAGAAGUCGAAGUAAAUAGAAAAAUAACUGCAGGGUUUCUACUCCGUACUAUAUCAACUUUUUCUGAAUUGGGGUUGUAUCUAUUCAUCAGUUUAUUCAUAUGACUUUUUCAUAAAAAGGUUAAGUUUAUUAAAGGUGUUUCAUUUUUCUUAUCAUUCAGUUGAGUGAUUAGAAAAUAAAAAGUUUUACAUUCACCAGGGUUCAAAGUCCUGGAUAAGCAAACAAGGUGAUCAACAGGUAAAAAUGCAGUUUCCAAAAAGGUUACAAAAGGUUUAAACUGAAAGUGCUGAAGCUCAAACGUCAUUCAUCACAUGAUCACUGAGACAAUAUAACAGGUCGGUAUCAUCUGAAACCAACCUGUAAGUUACAGAGCGUCAGAGGAGACGAGCAAAGCUGAAAUUGAAGUCGACAUGAUGCCUGUGUCUUGGAGCGCAGAAAAAACUAAGGAAAACAUAAAGAUGGAGGUUAACAUCUCGGAUGGAGCUGUGGCUAUACUGGCAGCCGCAGCAGUUGCUUGUGUUUAUGUCCAUAGUGGGAAGGAAAAAUCUUCCAAAUGAUCAAAUUCACUGGAAUUCCAUCACAUCUGAAUGUUCACUCACUGAGAAGUGUCAAUUCUUCACUAAUUUUGAAGGACAUAUGUAGUAUGUGUUUGUAGAAAUUCCUGUAAUAAAUUACUCCAGAAUGAGAAAAUGA